rnacentral:rRNA from 1 species
UACGUAGGGGGCAAGCGUUGUCCGGAAUCAUUGGGCGUAAAGAGCGUGUAGGCGGCCAGAUAAGUCAGCUGUGAAAUCUCGAGGCUCAACUUCGAGCUGUCGGUGGAAACUGUCUGGCUAGAGUCCGGAAGAGGAGAAUGGAAUUCCUGGUGUAGCGGUGAAAUGCGCAGAUAUCAGGAAGAACACCCGUGGCGAAGGCGGUUCCCUGGGACGGUACUGACGCUGAGACGCGAAAGCGUGGGGAGCGAACAGG